GAUUAAGUUAUUAAGGGCGCACGGUGGAUGCCUUGGCACUAGAAGCCGAUGAAGGACGUUACUAACGACGAUAUGCUUUGGGGAGCUGUAAGUAAGCUUUGAUCCAGAGAUUUCCGAAUGGGGAAACCCAGCAUGAGUUAUGUCAUGUUAUCGAUAUGUGAAUACAUAGCAUAUCAGAAGGCACACCCGGAGAACUGAAACAUCUUAGUACCCGGAGGAAGAGAAAGAAAAUUCGAUUCCCUUAGUAGCGGCGAGCGAAACGGGAAGAGCCCAAACCAACAAGCUUGCUUGUUGGGGUUGUAGGACACUCUAUACGGAGUUACAAAGGACGACAUUAGACGAAUCAUCUGGAAAGAUGAAUCAAAGAAGGUAAUAAUCCUGUAGUCGAAAAUGUUGUCUCUCUUGAGUGGAUCCUGAGUACGACGGAGCACGUGAAAUUCCGUCGGAAUCUGGGAGGACCAUCUCCUAAGGCUAAAUACUCUCUAGUGACCGAUAGUGAACCAGUACCGUGAGGGAAAGGUGAAAAGCACCCCGGAAGGGGAGUGAAACAGAACCUGAAACCGUGUGCUUACAAGUAGUCAGAGCCCGUUAAUGGGUGAUGGCGUGCCUUUUGUAGAAUGAACCGGCGAGUUACGAUUUGAUGCAAGGUUAAGCAGUAAAUGUGGAGCCGUAGCGAAAGCGAGUCUGAAUAGGGCGUUUAGUAUUUGGUCGUAGACCCGAAACCAGGUGAUCUACCCUUGGUCAGGUUGAAGUUCAGGUAACACUGAAUGGAGGACCGAACCGACUUACGUUGAAAAGUGAGCGGAUGAACUGAGGGUAGCGGAGAAAUUCCAAUCGAACCUGGAGAUAGCUGGUUCUCUCCGAAAUAGCUUUAGGGCUAGCCUCAAGUGAUGAUUAUUGGAGGUAGAGCACUGUUUGGACGAGGGGCCCCUCUCGGGUUACCGAAUUCAGACAAACUCCGAAUGCCAAUUAAUUUAACUUGGGAGUCAGAACAUGGGUGAUAAGGUCCGUGUUCGAAAGGGAAACAGCCCAGACCACCAGCUAAGGUCCCAAAAUAUAUGUUAAGUGGAAAAGGAUGUGGCGUUGCCCAGACAACUAGGAUGUUGGCUUAGAAGCAGCCAUCAUUUAAAGAGUGCGUAAUAGCUCACUAGUCGAGUGACACUGCGCCGAAAAUGUACCGGGGCUAAACAUAUUACCGAAGCUGUGGAUUGUCCUUUGGACAAUGGUAGGAGAGCGUUCUAAGGGCGUUGAAGCAUGAUCGUAAGGACAUGUGGAGCGCUUAGAAGUGAGAAUGCCGGUGUGAGUAGCGAAAGACGGGUGAGAAUCCCGUCCACCGAUUGACUAAGGUUUCCAGAGGAAGGCUCGUCCGCUCUGGGUUAGUCGGGUCCUAAGCUGAGGCCGACAGGCGUAGGCGAUGGAUAACAGGUUGAUAUUCCUGUACCACCUAUAAUCGUUUUAAUCGAUGGGGGGACGCAGUAGGAUAGGCGAAGCGUGCGAUUGGAUUGCACGUCUAAGCAGUAAGGCUGAGUAUUAGGCAAAUCCGGUACUCAUUAAGGCUGAGCUGUGAUGGGGAGAAGACAUUGUGUCUUCGAGUCGUUGAUUUCACACUGCCGAGAAAAGCCUCUAGAUAGAAAAUAGGUGCCCGUACCGCAAACCGACACAGGUAGUCAAGAUGAGAAUUCUAAGGUGAGCGAGCGAACUCUCGUUAAGGAACUCGGCAAAAUGACCCCGUAACUUCGGGAGAAGGGGUGCUCUUUAGGGUUAACGCCCAGAAGAGCCGCAGUGAAUAGGCCCAAGCGACUGUUUAUCAAAAACACAGGUCUCUGCUAAACCGUAAGGUGAUGUAUAGGGGCUGACGCCUGCCCGGUGCUGGAAGGUUAAGAGGAGUGGUUAGCUUCUGCGAAGCUACGAAUCGAAGCCCCAGUAAACGGCGGCCGUAACUAUAACGGUCCUAAGGUAGCGAAAUUCCUUGUCGGGUAAGUUCCGACCCGCACGAAAGGCGUAACGAUUUGGGCACUGUCUCAACGAGAGACUCGGUGAAAUCAUAGUACCUGUGAAGAUGCAGGUUACCCGCGACAGGACGGAAAGACCCCGUGGAGCUUUACUGUAGCCUGAUAUUGAAAUUCGGCACAGCUUGUACAGGAUAGGUAGGAGCCUUUGAAACGUGAGCGCUAGCUUACGUGGAGGCGCUGGUGGGAUACUACCCUAGCUGUGUUGGCUUUCUAACCCGCACCACUUAUCGUGGUGGGAGACAGUGUCAGGCGGGCAGUUUGACUGGGGCGGUCGCCUCCUAAAAGGUAACGGAGGCGCUCAAAGGUUCCCUCAGAAUGGUUGGAAAUCAUUCAUAGAGUGUAAAGGCAUAAGGGAGCUUGACUGCGAGACCUACAAGUCGAGCAGGGUCGAAAGACGGACUUAGUGAUCCGGUGGUUCCGCAUGGAAGGGCCAUCGCUCAACGGAUAAAAGCUACCCCGGGGAUAACAGGCUUAUCUCCCCCAAGAGUUCACAUCGACGGGGAGGUUUGGCACCUCGAUGUCGGCUCAUCGCAUCCUGGGGCUGUAGUCGGUCCCAAGGGUUGGGCUGUUCGCCCAUUAAAGCGGUACGCGAGCUGGGUUCAGAACGUCGUGAGACAGUUCGGUCCCUAUCCGUCGUGGGCGUAGGAAAUUUGAGAGGAGCUGUCCUUAGUACGAGAGGACCGGGAUGGACAUACCUCUGGUGUACCAGUUGUCGUGCCAACGGCAUAGCUGGGUAGCUAUGUGUGGACGGGAUAAGUGCUGAAAGCAUCUAAGCAUGAAGCCCCCCUCAAGAUGAGAUUUCCCAACUUCGGUUAUAAGAUCCCUCAAAGAUGAUGAGGUUAAUAGGUUCGAGGUGGAAGCAUGGUGACAUGUGGAGCUGACGAAUACUAAUCGAUCGAAGACUUAAUCAA
rnacentral:rRNA from 1 species